rnacentral:rRNA from 1 species
GAUGAACGCUGGCGGCGUGCCUAAUACAUGCAAGUCGAGCGAACAGACGAGGAGCUUGCUCCUUUGACGUUAGCGGCGGACGGGUGAGUAACACGUGGGUAACCUACCUAUAAGACUGGGAUAACUUCGGGAAACCGGAGCUAAUACCGGAUAAUAUUUCGAACCGCAUGGUUCGAUAGUGAAAGAUGGCUUUGCUAUCACUUAUAGAUGGACCUGCGCCGUAUUAGCUAGUUGGUAAGGUAACGGCUUACCAAGGCAACGAUACGUAGCCGACCUGAGAGGGUGAUCGGCCACACUGGAACUGAGACACGGUCCAGACUCCUACGGGAGGCAGCAGUAGGGAAUCUUCCGCAAUGGGCGAAAGCCUGACGGAGCAACGCCGCGUGAGUGAUGAAGGGCUUCGGAUCGUAAAACUCUGUUAUUAGGGAAGAACAAACGUGUAAGUAACUGUGCACGUCUUGACGGUACCUAAUCAGAAAGCCACGGCUAACUACGU